UACGUAGGGUGCGAGCGUUGUCCGGAAUUAUUGGGCGUAAAGAGCUUGUAGGGGGUUUGUCGCGUCUGCUGUGAAAAUCCGAGGCUCAACCUCGGACUUGCAGUGGGUACGGGCAGACUAGAGUGUGGUAGGGGAGACUGGAAUUCCUGGUGUAGCGGUGGAAUGCGCAGAUAUCAGGAGGAACACCGAUGGCGAAGGCAGGUCUCUGGGCCAUUACUGACACUGAGAAGCGAAAGCAUGGGGAGCGAACAGG
rnacentral:rRNA from 1 species